UGACGAGUGGCGAACGGGUGAGUAAUACAUCGGAACGUGCCCGAUCGUGGGGGAUAACGCAGCGAAAGCUGUGCUAAUACCGCAUACGAUCUACGGAUGAAAGCGGGGGAUCGCAAGACCUCGCGCGGACGGAGCGGCCGAUGGCAGAUUAGGUAGUUGGUGGGAUAAAAGCUUACCAAGCCGACGAUCUGUAGCUGGUCUGAGAGGACGACCAGCCACACUGGGACUGAGACACGGCCCAGACUCCUACGGGAGGCAGCAGUGGGGAAUUUUGGACAAUGGGCGAAAGCCUGAUCCAGCCAUGCCGCGUGCAGGAUGAAGGCCUUCGGGUUGUAAACUGCUUUUGUACGGAACGAAAAAGUUCUCUCUAAUACAGGGGGCGAAUGACGGUACCGUAAGAAUA
rnacentral:rRNA from 1 species